rnacentral:rRNA from 1 species
UACGUAGGGGGCAAGCGUUGUCCGGAUUUACUGGGCGUAAAGAGCGUGUAGGCGGCCACGCAGGUCCGUUGUGAAAACUGGAGGCUCAACUUCCAGCCGUCGACGGAAACCGUGUGGCUAGAGUCCGGAAGAGGAGAGUGGAAUUCCUGGUGUAGCGGUGAAAUGCGCAGAUAUCAGGAAGAACACCAAUGGCGAAGGCAGCUCUCUGGGACGGUACUGACGCUGAGACGCGAAAGCGUGGGGAGCGAACAGG